AGCCUCACCCUACUUCUAGUUGGCCCUCUCUAUGAUCUGUUUGGGGCUGAAGAUACAGCAUCUCAACUUCCUGCUCAAACUGUCUUCCGUGUGCCUGCCCUCUGCUCUGUAAUCAGUACAAGCUAGAAUGGAGUCACAUCACAAAUGGGGUGUCCGAUUCCCUUGGAGCUGUAGUGACAGGCUGUUGUGAGCUUCCCAAGCACAUAGGGACCCACAUGACAGGAUGAAAUCUUACAGCAAAGCUGCUUGCCUGGCCAUUUUGAUGGAUGAACACAGCCUUGAAGAAGCCC